AUUGAACGCUGGCGGCAUGCCUUACACAUGCAAGUCGAACGGUAACGCGGGGCAACCUGGCGACGAGUGGCGAACGGGUGAGUAAUAUAUCGGAACGUGCCCAGUAGUGGGGGAUAGCCCGGCGAAAGCCGGAUUAAUACCGCAUACGACCUACGGGUGAAAGCGGGGGAUCGCAAGACCUCGCGCUAUUGGAGCGGCCGAUAUCAGAUUAGGUAGUUGGUGGGGUAAAGGCCUACCAAGCCUACGAUCUGUAGCUGGUCUGAGAGGACGACCAGCCACACUGGGACUGAGACACGGCCCAGACUCCUACGGGAGGCAGCAGUGGGGAAUUUUGGACAAUGGGCGCAAGCCUGAUCCAGCCAUGCCGCGUGCGGGAAGAAGGCCUUCGGUUGUAACCGACUUUGUCAGGAAGAAACGACUCUGGGCGUAAUACCCUGGGUAAGUGACGGUACCUGAAGAAUAAGACACCGGCUAACUACGUAGCCAGCAGCCGCGGUAA
rnacentral:rRNA from 1 species